AAAUUGAAGAGUUUGAUCAUGGCUCAGAUUGAACGCUGGCGGCAGGCCUAACACAUGCAAGUCGAGCGGUAGCACAGAGAGCUUGCUCUCGGGUGACGAGCGGCGGACGGGUGAGUAAUGUCUGGGAAACUGCCUGAUGGAGGGGGAUAACUACUGGAAACGGUAGCUAAUACCGCAUAACGUCGCAAGACCAAAGUGGGGGACCUUCGGGCCUCAUGCCAUCAGAUGUGCCCAGAUGGGAUUAGCUAGUAGGUGGGGUAACGGCUCACCUAGGCGACGAUCCCUAGCUGGUCUGAGAGGAUGACCAGCCACACUGGAACUGAGACACGGUCCAGACUCCUACGGGAGGCAGCAGUGGGGAAUAUUGCACAAUGGGCGCAAGCCUGAUGCAGCCAUGCCGCGUGUGUGAAGAAGGCCUUCGGGUUGUAAAGCACUUUCAGCGGGGAGGAAGGCGGGUGAGGUUAAUAACCUCACCGAUUGACGUUACCCGCAGAAGAAGCACCGGCUAACUCCGUGCCAGCAGCCGCGGUAAUACGGAGGGCGCAAGCGUUAAUCGGAAUUACUGGGCGUAAAGCGCACGCAGGCGGUCUGUCAAGUCGGAUGUGAAAUCCCCGGGCUCAACCUGGGAACUGCAUUCGAAACUGGCAGGCUAGAGUCUUGUAGAGGGGGGUAGAAUUCCAGGUGUAGCGGUGAAAUGCGUAGAGAUCUGGAGGAAUACCGGUGGCGAAGGCGGCCCCCUGGACAAAGACUGACGCUCAGGUGCGAAAGCGUGGGGAGCAAAACAGGAUUAGAUACCCUGGUAGUCCACGCUGUAAACGAUGUCGAUUUGGAGGUUGUGCCCUUGAGGCGUGGCUUCCGGAGCUAACGCGUUAAAAUCGACCGCCUGGGGAGUACGGCCGCAAGGUUAAAACUCAAAUGAAUUGACGGGGGCCCGCACAAGCGGUGGAGCAUGUGGUUUAAUUCGAUGCAACGCGAAGAACCUUACCUGGUCUUGACAUCCACAGAACUUAGCAGAGAUGCUUUGGUGCCUUCGGGAACUGUGAGACAGGUGCUGCAUGGCUGUCGUCAGCUCGUGUUGUGAAAUGUUGGGUUAAGUCCCGCAACGAGCGCAACCCUUAUCCUUUGUUGCCAGCGGUUAGGCCGGGAACUCAAAGGAGACUGCCAGUGAUAAACGUGGGGGAAGGUGGGGAUGACGUCAAGUCAUCAUGGCCCUUACGACCAGGGCUACACACGUGCUACAAUGGCAUAUACAAAGAGAAGCGACCUCGCGAGAGCAAGCGGACCUCAUAAAGUAUGUCGUAGUCCGGAUUGGAGUCUGCAACUCGACUCCAUGAAGUCGGAAUCGCUAGUAAUCGUAGAUCAGAAUGCUACGGUGAAUACGUUCCCGGGCCUUGUACACACCGCCCGUCACACCAUGGGAGUGGGUUGCAAAAGAAGUAGGUAGCUUAACCUUCGGGAGGGCGCUUACCACUUUUGUGAUUCAUGACUGGGGUGAAGUCGUAACAAGGUAACCGUAGGGGAACCUGCGGUUGGAUCACCUCCUUA
rnacentral:rRNA from 1 species